CAUCAAUACAAUCAGAAAAGCAUCAAGCCAUGCGCUCGCAACUGCCAAUUUGAGAAAAGAAUUUGAAUUGACUGAAAAACAAGCUGAAGCUAUAUUAGAUAUAAGCCUGAGAAGGCUUACAGCACUCGAGAGAAAUAAGUUUGUCGACGAGGGGAAAUCCUUGAGAACACAAAUUUCCAAGUUAGAGGAACUUUUGUCUAGUGAGAAGCAAAUACUCCAGUUGAUUGAAGAAG
rnacentral:misc_RNA from 1 species